UACGGGGGGGCAAGCGUUGUUCGGAAUUACUGGGCGUAAAGGGCUCGUAGGCGGCCAACUAAGUCGGAUGUGAAAUCCCCAGGCUCAACCUGGGAACUGCAUCCGAUACUGGAUGGCUUGAAUUCGGGAGAGGGAUGCAGAAUUCCAGGUGUAGCGGUGAAAUGCGUAGAUAUCUGGAGGAAUACCGGUGGCGAAGGCGGCAUCCUGGACCGACAUUGACGCUGAGGAGCGAAAGCCAGGGGAGCAAACGGG
rnacentral:rRNA from 1 species